GGGCGAUUGGCUCAGUUGGUUAGAGCGCCGCCUUCACACGGCGGAGGUCACAGGUUCGAGUCCUGUAUCGCCCACCC
rnacentral:tRNA from 1 species